GCUUACGAUUCCCGAGCACUGUCUUAAUUGCUGCUUUAUGACGUGUGCUCUCAAAUGACACGCAGCAUUGCCAGCACCGAUUAUGAUUUAGUUCAAAAGACUGGAGCAGGCGCCAUAAAGAUUAAACGGCAGUGUAGUAACAAAAGAUUGUUGCUUUUUGGCACCCGUCAGUCAGUCAUUGGGUCAUAAAAUGCUGCUGCUCCGCCUACUCCUACUACCCAUCUGCCAGCCAAC
rnacentral:lncRNA from 1 species